rnacentral:sRNA from 1 species
AUCCUGGUUAGAAGAUACAAAGACAAACACUCAUACGGACUUUGGCUACACCAUCAAAGCUUUGAGAAGCAAGAAGAAGCUUGGUUAGUGUUUUGGAGUCGCAUAUGACUUGAUGUCAUGUUUAUGAGUGAGUAUAAAAACUAGAACCGCAACGGAUCUUAAAAGCCUAGCUAUUGUAUCCUUGUUAGAAGAUACAUAGACAAAGACUCAUACGGAAUUCGGCUAUACCAUCAAAGCUUUUAGAAGCAAGAAGAAGCUUGGUUAGUGUUUUGGAGUGAAAUAUGACUAGAUGUCAUGUGUAUGAGUGAGUAUACCAACUAGAACCACAAUUGGAAUUUUAAAAGCCUAAGUAUUGUAUCCUUGUUAGAAGAUACAAAGACAAACACUCAUACGGACUUUGGCUACACCAUCAAAGCUUUGAGAAGCAAGAAGAAGCUUGGUUAGUGUUUUGGAGUCGAAUAUGACUUGAUGUGAUGUUUAUGAUUGAGUAUAAGAAAC